GAAUAAUAAGUGGAAGACAGCUUGAUGAAUUGGACAAGGAAGCCCUUGGAACAGGAUGUAAAAGCAGCACUUUCCAUCCAGCCUGACAUCCUGCUUCCAGAUGCAGAAGGCUGAGCAGGCCACCAGGAUCACAUUUAAAUGGCUGUGGCCAUGAUGUUCCAAUUUGAAACCUGGACUCCACCAACUUCCAUACUCAUCCCUUGCUCUCAGCCCUCUCCCUCCCCUGUCCAGGUCCUCAGGAUGAUCUGAGAAAUAUGUUACACUUUUCUUCCUCGCUAGAUGUCAACACGUUGGAAGGCAGGG
rnacentral:lncRNA from 10 species